GGCGGGCGGGCGGCACCACCCUUGGACACCUCCCCCCCUAUAGUAGUGAAAUGGACAAAAUCAGCCAAAUGACCACUAGACAUUGAAAAUGCCGAGGGAAGCAACUUUUUUAUUUCUCAAUAUUUUAUAUCUUAUUCAACUUAUUUUUUAACCAAAUUUUUUUCUAACAUUAAUUAUAUUAUUAUCUACCCGUAGAAACUGGAAUUUUAUUUUUCCGACUUGUAAUUAUUUUUAUUUAAUUUUUUCAUUCGAAAAUAUUUUUAAUUACCAAAUAAAUAGAGAAAAAUAUCAAUAUACAUUUUAAAAAUCACGAAAAUUAUGCCAAAUAGUUCCUGUUGAUAUUACAAUAAUUGUUGAAUUUUUUUUUUAUUUUUCUGGUUUGUAAUUAUAUUUUUUAUUAUUUUAAUUCAAAAAAAUACAAUAAAAUAGAUAAUAAAUAGAGAAAAAUAUCGAAAUAUAUUUUAAAAAUCACGAAAGUUAUGCCAAUUAGUUCCUGUUGAUUAUUCAAGUGUUCUUGAAAUUUUAUUUUAUUUUUCUGGUUUUUAUUUAUAUUUUUUUAUUAUUUUAAUUCAAGAAAUACAGUAAAAUAGAUAAUAAAUAGAGAAAAAUAUCAAAAUAUAUUCGAAAAAUCACGAAAAUUAUCCCAUUUGGCUCCUGCUGUAGUUACAUGAAUUUAUGAAAAUUUUAUUUUAUUUUUAUGAUUUUUAAUUACAUUUUUUUAUUAUUUUAAUUCAAAAAAUAGAUAAUAAUUAGAGAAUAUUAAUUCGGGUAUGAGGUUUGAAGAGUGGAAAGGUACUGUGGAUAGUUCUUUUACGAAAUAGUAAUUAUUAUUUAUAUUAUUCGGGUACUUUUAAUAUUUAAUUUCUAUUUAUUCAUUAUUUUAACUAAUAUAUUCGUUAAAAUAGUGAAAAAAACACCAAAGCUGGUUAUUCCCCCGAAAAACAUACCCUUUUUCGGGGGAAUAAUACCCCCCCCCCCCCCCCCCACAAGUGAACGUGACGAUAUCAUCUUCGUAGCAAAAGAUACGUUGAAAACAUUUAUCAUUGUUCAUCGACUUAUUGUUCCCUAACAACAUGCCUUGCCCAAACUAGUCGGUCCCGACGUUUUCGGAGCAAUUCUCGAAAUCUGAGAAAACGGCCCCGACAACCACCGUGCCAAAUUCAAUUUCCUACGCGCUCGUAUUUUUUAUUAUUUUUUUCGGGUCGGAAAAUUUUCGGACUUUCGGCACCGGCCCAGCCAAGGUGCUGGCGACUCUGCCCAAGGUGCUAGCAACCUUGGGCAAAAACUAGUCGGUCCCGACGUUUUCGGAGCAAUUCUCGAAAUCUGAGAAAACGGCCCCGACAACCACCGUGCCAAAUUCAAUUUCCUACGCGCUCGUAUUUUUUAUUAUUUUUUUCGGGUCGGAAAAUUUUCAGACUUUCGGCACCGGCCCAGCCAAGGUGCUGGCGACUCUGCCCAAGGUGCUAGCAACCUUGGGCAAAAACUAGUCGCUCCCGACGUUUUCGGAGCAAUUCUCGAAAUCUGAGAAAACGGCCCCGACAACCACCGUGCCAAAUUCAAUUUCCUACGCGCUCGUAUUUUUUAUUAUUUUUUUCGGGUCGGAAAAUUUUCGGACUUUCGGCACCGGCCCAGCCAAGGUGCUGGCGACUCUGCCCAAGGUGCUAGCAACCUUGGGCAAAAACUAGUCGGUCCCGACGUUUUCGGAGCAAUUCUCGAAAUCUGAGAAAACGGCCCCGACAACCACCGUGCCAAAUUCAAUUUCCUACGCGCUCGUAUUUUUUAUUAUUUUUUUCGGGUCGGAAAAUUUUCGGACUUUCGGCACCGGCCCAGCCAAGGUGCUGGCGACUCUGCCCAAGGUGCUAGCAACCUUGGGCAAAAACUAGUCGCUCCCGACGUUUUCGGAGCAAUUCUCGAAAUCUGAGAAAACGGCCCCGACAACCACCGUGCCAAAUUCAAUUUCCUACGCGCUCGUAUUUUUUAUUAUUUUUUUCGGGUCGGAAAAUUUUCGGACUUUCGGCACCGGCCCAGCCAAGGUGCUGGCGACUCUGCCCAAGGUGCUAGCAACCUUGGGCAAAAACUAGUCGGUCCCGACGUUUUCGGAGCAAUUCUCGAAAUCUGAGAAAACGGCCCCGACAACCACCGUGCCAAAUUCAAUUUCCUACGCGCUCGUAUUUUUUAUUAUUUUUUUCGGGUCGGAAAAUUUUCGGACUUUCGGCACCGGCCCAGCCAAGGUGCUGGCGACUCUGCCCAAGGUGCUAGCAACCUUGGGCAAAAACUAGUCGCUCCCGACGUUUUCGGAGCAAUUCUCGAAAUCUGAGAAAACGGCCCCGACAACCACCGUGCCAAAUUCAAUUUCCUACGCGCUCGUAUUUUUUAUUAUUUUUUUCGGGUCGGAAAAUUUUCGGACUUUCGGCACCGGCCCAGCCAAGGUGCUGGCGACUCUGCCCAAGGUGCUAGCAACCUUGGGCAAAAACUAGUCGGUCCCGACGUUUUCGGAGCA
rnacentral:lncRNA from 1 species